rnacentral:snRNA from 1 species
UGCAGCAUCAUCAAGAUUC